rnacentral:tRNA from 1 species
GUGGGCGUAGCUCAAUUGGCAGAGCACUGGACUGUGGCUCCGGGGGUUGUGGGUUCAAGCCCCAUCGCCCACCCCA